rnacentral:rRNA from 1 species
GCCUAACACAUGCAAGUCGGACGGUAGCACAGAGAGCUUGCUCUUGGGUGACGAGUGGCGGACGGGUGAGUAAUGUCUGGGGAUCUGCCCGAUAGAGGGGGAUAACCACUGGAAACGGUGGCUAAUACCGCAUAACGUCGCAAGACCAAAGAGGGGGACCUUCGGGCCUCUCACUAUCGGAUGAACCCAGAUGGGAUUAGCUAGUAGGCGGGGUAAUGGCCCACCUAGGCGACGAUCCCUAGCUGGUCUGAGAGGAUGACCAGCCACACUGGAACUGAGACACGGUCCAGACUCCUACGGGAGGCAGCAGUGGGGAAUAUUGCACAAUGGGCGCAAGCCUGAUGCAGCCAUGCCGCGUGUAUGAAGAAGGCCUUCGGGUUGUAAAGUACUUUCAGCGGGGAGGAAGGCGAYGGGGUUAAUAACCCUGUCGAUUGACGUUACCCGCAGAAGAAACACCGGCUAACUCCGUGCCAGCAGCCGCGGUAAUACGGAGGGUGCAAGCGUUAAUCGGAAUUACUGGGCGUAAAGCGCACGCAGGCGGUCUGUUAAGUCAGAUGUGAAAUCCCCGGGCUUAACCUGGGAACUGCAUUUGAAACUGGCAGGCUUGAGUCUUGUAGAGGGGGGUAGAAUUCCAGGUGUAGCGGUGAAAUGCGUA